GCGCUCACUUGGCAGCACAGAUACUAAAAUUGGAAUGACCCCGAGAAGAUUGGCCUGGCCCUGUGCAAGUAUGACAUGCAGAUUCAUGAAGUUUCCAUGUUUUUA
ensembl:snRNA U6 U6 spliceosomal RNA